GCUCAGGAUGAACGCUAGCUACAGGCUUAACACAUGCAAGUCGAGGGGUAGCAGGGUAGCAAUACCGCUGACGACCGGCGCACGGGUGAGUAACACGUAUCCAACCUUCCCAUAACUCAGGGAUAGCCUUUCGAAAGAAAGAUUAAUACCUGAUAGUACUUAAGAAAGGCAUCUUUUUUAAGUUAAAGAUUUAUUGGUUAUGGAUGGGGAUGCGUUCCAUUAGAUAGUUGGUGAGGUAACGGCUCACCAAGUCUUCGAUGGAUAGGGGUUCUGAGAGGAAGGUCCCCCACAUUGGUACUGAGACACGGACCAAACUCCUACGGGAGGCAGCAGUGAGGAAUAUUGGUCAAUGGGCGAGAGCCUGAACCAGCCAA
rnacentral:rRNA from 1 species